AAGUAGCAAGUAUGCUACGUAACUAAAUUUAACCCAAAAUGGCAACACGUGAGUGGGUUUGUGUCUCGUUCAUGAGUCAUGAGUCGCUAAAUCUUAUUUUAAUCAAAGAUGAGUUCUGUUCAAUGAAAACGAAUUUUCAUCUCUUAAUUUUGUUUAUAAAUUAGUAAAAGAAAAAAGAAAAAGAAAACAAAAUAUUGAGUUUAUAUAUAUGUAACACCAAAACCAAACGCAACUGAUUCCUUUUGAC
rnacentral:lncRNA from 1 species